rnacentral:rRNA from 1 species
UAGGGAAUCUUCCGCAAUGGACGAAAGUCUGACGGAGCAACGCCGCGUGAGUGAAGAAGGAUUUCGGUUCGUAAAACUCUGUUGUUAGGGAAGAAAAAAUGUAUAGUAACUAUAUACAAAAGAGACGGUACCUAACCAGAAAGCCACGGCUAACUACGUGCCAGCAGCCGCGGUAAUACGUAGGUGGCAAGCGUUGUCCGGAAUUAUUGGGCGUAAAGCGCGCGCAGGUGGUUUAGAAAGUCUGAUGUGAAAGCCCACGGCUCAACCGUAGAGGGUCAUUGGAAACUAAUAAACUUGAGUGCAGGAGAGAAAAGUGGAAUUCCUGGUGUAGCGGUGAAAUGCGUAGAGAUUAGGAGGAACACCGGUGGCGAAAGCGGCUUUUUGGCCUGCAACUGACACUGAGGCGCGAAAGCGUGGGGAGCAAACAGG